AUGCGCCCAGUUUGGACAACGUUUUGACAAAAUUUGGUAUAAAUGAUAUAAAGAAGGAGCAAAAGGAAAUUUUAGAGUGUUUAGUUAACAAGAAGAAGUGCGUGGCUGUACUCCCGACUGGUUUUGGCAAGUCACUGCCGUUUCAACUGUACCUUCCAGUUGUCCGGGAGGUUAUUGAAAACAGUUCUGACUGAAAAGUUUUAGUCUGUUUUCCCUUAGUAGCUCUGAUGCUGGACCAGGUGGAAAAACUCUCGCACAUUGGAAAUAUUACUGCUGCAUACAAAGGAUCAUCUUCCCCAGAGUGACGAUCAAAUCAAAGAGGGGUUGAUAGAUGUCAUUCUUGCAUCUCCAGAAACAUUGGUUGGUGAUCCCUAUUGUUUAAAGAAGUUGAACAUUAAGUUGUUUGUAAUUGAUGAGUUUCACACAAUAGCAAUUUGGGGCCAAGAUGAAGGAGACAGAAAAAAAGGCUUUUCGAAAAUGGUUUUCAAAUGUAGGUGAACUAAGAUCCCUCUUUUCCGAUGCUACAGUAUUGGCUUUAAGUGCAACUU